GGUUGAGACUAGCCUAGCUUGGCACUUGAAGACAAGGAACCGUUAGCUUAGUUUAGCUUGUUAGUUUGAGUCUGGCUCUUCUUUGGUUUCCUUGGUUACUGUUUUAAAACGACCUAUCAGGUCUAAGAAUGACCGUCUGACCAAUGAGACGUCAGCGUGGCGUCCUGAGAGCAGUCUGCGUGUGAGACGUUAUUCUAGAACAUUACAGGUUGAUUCCUGGGAACAAAUAAUCUCCUGCCUCAGUCAGACGACCAACUGCUGAUUAACCUUGACCCAGAGAUCAAUGCCUGCGCGCACACACACACACACACACACACACACACACACACACACACACACACACACACACACACACACACACACACACACACACACACGCUGAGGUCCUACAGAACCCUGGCUCGUCUUCCCGCGCUCCGUCAGAGCCAAAGUGUUUGUUAGUGGGAGUGAAAAGAGGAGAGAGUCUGCUGGAUUACUGCUGGAUUACUGCACUGAUAGUCGCUGCUGCCAGUGAGAAGGUGCUGCUCCAGUUAGAGGGACAAAGGCGGGAGAGACCUGAGGACAAUCUGACCUCAGAUAUCCAUCAGGAAACACCUGGUUAAGGAGCGUCUCCAGCUACCUGUUGUCCAGUUAGCUCCUAGUUUACCAGAUAUAUGGAAAUCUCAAAGAUGGAACUGCCAGCCCUGGGGUGAUGACGUCAUCAGGUCCGUUCUGGACUGGAGUCUACAAUCACAGCAAGGCCAACUUUAAAAAGCCUGAAUAAUGUUAUUCACCACUGGAGGAGCCAGUCAUUUACCCAGAAUGCAUUGCAAUGUGAACAACAUGGCGACAUUCCUGUGAAAACAUUUUAUUAAAAUUUAUAAGUAA